rnacentral:lncRNA from 10 species
AAAUCCCAAUUCAAUACCAAAUAUAACCUGGGCAUUAACCUAACAAAUACAAAUAGAUGUAGAAUCUGUUCAGGAAACAUUUUAAACUUCCCGGAAUAAUGUAAUAGAAGACUUGAACAGACAUGGAAGCUGUCUAUGUUUUUUCUUUUUUUGUUGUGUCUCUGCCAGGUUUUUGUAUCAGGAUGAUGCUGGCCUCAUAAAAUGAGGCUUUUUUGCCCUCUCUUCACCUUUUGCCAUCACAGGGUGGAAAACUCCCUGGGAUCAUGCUUACACCACCAUUUUUGGAGUAUGGGACCCAUGAAGGAGCAUAUACCUCUAUUGCAUGUGCACAUGUUUCUCCUAUCAUAAAUAUUCAUCCACCUCCUAUAGCUCACUAAAUACGUAUAUUUGGCCGCCCCAUUCAGGAUAAAUUCUUGUCCCCAUUUCCCCUCCCUCAAAGUGUCUUUUCUGGCUUCUGGCCAGACGCUGUGCUUCCCAACCCAUCAGACAGCCUGGCCACCCUGCAGGCUGCAACUCUUUA